UACGGGGGAGCAAGCGUUGUUCGGAUUUACUGGGCGUAAAGGGCGCGUAGGCGGCCUCUGCAAGUCGACUGUGAAAUCUCCGGGCUUAACCCGGAAAGGUCAGCCGAUACUGCAGGGCUAGAGUGCAGAAGGGGCAACUGGAAUUCUCGGUGUAGCGGUGAAAUGCGUAGAUAUCGAGAGGAACACCUGCGGCGAAGGCGGGUUGCUGGGCUGACACUGACGCUGAGGCGCGAAAGCUAGGGGAGCGAACGGG
rnacentral:rRNA from 1 species